CAGCUGGACCGGACGGUCGCUCUCGCUGCGUCCAGCGGCGAGGGAGGAAAGUCCGAACUCCGCAGAGCAGUGUGCCGGAUAACGUCCGGGAGGGUGGAUUCAAGUCCACUCGACGGAAAGUGCCACAGAAAACAUACCGCCUAAAGCCUGCUUUCGAGCGGGUGCCAGGUAAGGGUGAAAAGGUGCGGUAAGAGCGCACCGCCGCCGCAGUAAUGUGGCGGG
rnacentral:RNase_P_RNA from 1 species